rnacentral:tRNA from 1 species
GACACUUUGGCCGAGUGGUUAAGGCGACAGACUCGAAUUUCACCCCACAAUUCGUCAUCUGUUUCAUUCGUGAGCGCAGGUUCAAAUCCUGCAGGUGUCG